rnacentral:lncRNA from 1 species
AUGUUGUUAAGAAGGUUUUCUCUGGUGGAGCCUUGAUGCUUACAACUAUGGAUGGUGAAGAUUUUCCGUCCCCUGUGAACUCAGAUGUAGUCAAAAAAUACUUCGCAUAAAUUGACCCGCUGGACGAGAUUUUCCGUCCCCUGUGAACUCAGAUGUAGUCAAAAAAUACUUCGCAUAAAUUGACCCGCUGGACGAAAAGAAUAAAAGAGUCCAGGCAAAAAAGGGCAUCCCGGCGAACCAAGAAAAAAAAA